GAAGCUUGCUAUUGCUGACGACCGGCGCACGGGUGCGUAACGCGUAUAGAACCUACCUUUUACAGGGGAAUAGCCCAGAGAAAUUUGGAUUAAUGCCCCAUAGUAUUACGAGAUGGCAUCGUUUUGUAAUUAAACAUUUAUGGGUAAGAGAUGGCUAUGCGUCUUAUUAGUUAGUUGGUAAGGUAACGGCUUACCAAGACAUCGAUAAGUAGGGGUCCUGAGAGGGAGAUCCCCCACACUGGUACUGAGACACGGACCAGACUCCUACGGGAGGCAGCAGUGAGGAAUAUUGGACAAUGGAGGCAACUCUGAUCCAGCCAUGCCGCGUGUAGGAAGACUGCCCUAUGGGUUGUAAACUACUUUUGUAUAGGAAGAAACGAUUCUACGUGUAGAGUUUUGACGGUACUAUAAGAAUAAGGAUCGGCUAACUCCGUGCCAGCAGCCGCGGUAAUACGGAGGAUCCAAGCGUUAUCCGGAAUCAUUGGGUUUAAAGGGUCCGUAGGCGGAUUUAUAAGUCAGUGGUGAAAGUUUGCGGCUUAACCGUAAAAUUGCCAUUGAUACUGUAAGUCUUGAAUUACUAUGAAGUGGUUAGAAUAAGUAGUGUAGCGGUGAAAUGCAUAGAUAUUACUUAGAAUACCGAUUGCGAAGGCAGAUCACUAAUAGUAUAUUGACGCUGAGGGACGAAAGCGUGGGUAGCGAACAGGAUUAGAUACCCUGGUAGUCCACGCCGUAAACGAUGGUCACUAGUU
rnacentral:rRNA from 1 species